CAUUUCCCAUUUCCCCUUUUCGACGUUUCUCCCUAACCCUAAGCCUAUGCCUUCUUCCCAUUUUUCUCAAUUCGAGUUCACCUCCGGCAGCAAUCCACCUCCGGUCCUCCACCGAUCUACAACCAGACCUCCACGGCUCCACCCAUUUCCAGAAUCAAAGAUUCAAAUCUUAUGAGAAGGCCAAAAAGAAGUUGACAAUAUUAGAGGCUCCAUAUAUUCUUACAAUUGCAUUGAAGAGAUUUCAGUCCGGUAAAUUUGGAAAGCUUAACAAAGCGGUUCGGUUCCCUGAGUUUUUGAUAUCAUGAAUAUAUAGGCUCUAUGGAGUAGUGGUCCAUUUGGAUAUCAUGAAUGCAGCAUUUUCGGGUCCCUACUUGUGCUAUGUUAAAAAUGCUCAAAACAAGUGGUUUAAGAUUGAUGACAGCAUGGUAUGUUCUCUACAACUAUCAUCUGCAUGCCUUAAGCUGUUUCAUUUGUUUACCGCAUGCUUCUUUCCUCGAUCUAUGUUUUCAUCUACAUUAUAUUUUGAUUUCCUACCCUUAAUUUUUGUAAUAGCAUGUUUGGCUUGUUCUCCCUUAAUUUAAUGGGUUUUUUUCCCCAUAUGUAAUGUUUUAGCUAUAGUUGCCAUGUUAAUAAUCAUCGAUUCUUUUAAAUCCUUUGCUUUACAAUCACUUAAUUUUCCUGGGUAAAAGGAGUUGUACAAAAAUACUCCCUAAUGUUUUGAAAUAAACUAAGGGUGACUUUGUAUUCUUCCUUUUGAUUUUGGACUGCAUUAAACAGUUUUUUUUCUAAUGGCUUUUGAGACAGUGAAAAAGUUGGAAAAUACUCCGGUUAGCAUCUAUUUUUGAUGUCUAAGUUGGAGGCAUUUUAUAUUUUUCUGUCUGAUGCACCAAUCUGUAGGCCAAAAAUGCUACCCUAAAGCACAAGAUACUCAGUUUGAAAAUAUUCACUCAAUUUCAUCCGCUCAUGUUCUAUCUUCAUGUUACUCAUUAAUGUUAUGUUUUAAUUAUGUUAAA